rnacentral:rRNA from 1 species
UAACCUGCCCAGGAGAUCGGGAUAACACCUGGAAACAGAUGCUAAUACCGGAUAACAACAGAUGAUGCCUAUCAACUGUUUAAAAGAUGGUUCUGCUAUCACUCUUGGAUGGACCUGCGGUGCAUUAGCUAGUUGUAGGGUAACGGCCUACCAAGGCGAUGAUGCAUAGCCGAGUUGAGAGACUGAUCGGCCACAUUGGGACUGAGACACGGCCCAAACUCCUACGGGAGGCAGCAGUC